CUCCUUGUAGACUACAAGGUUGAUAGGCCAGGUGUGUAAGUCCAGUAAUGGAUUUAGCUAACUGGUACUAAUAAGCUGAUCGGCUUGACCAU
rnacentral:rRNA from 1 species